CCUACGGGAGGCAGCAGUGAGGAAUAUUGGUCAAUGGUCGGGAGACUGAACCAGCCAAGCCGCGUGAGGGAGGAAGGUACAGAGUAUCGUAAACCUCAUUUGUCAGGGAACAAAGGCGGGGACGUGUCCCCGGAUGAGUGUACCUGAAGAAAAAGCAUCGGCUAACUCCGUGCCAGCAGCCGCGGUAAUACGGAGGAUGCGAGCGUUAUCCGGAUUUAUUGGGUUUAAAGGGUGCGCAGGCGGUCUGUUAAGUCAGCGGUAAAAGCCCGGGGCUCAACCCCGGCCCGCCGUUGAAACUGGCAGUCUCGAGUUGGAGAGAAGGAUGCGGAAUGCGCGGUGUAGCGGUGAAAUGCAUAGAUAUCGCGCAGAACUCCGAUUGCGAAGGCAGCAUGCCGGCUCCACACUGACGCUGAGGCACGAAAGCGUGGGUAUCGAACAGGAUUAGAUACCCUAGUAGUC
rnacentral:rRNA from 1 species